rnacentral:rRNA from 1 species
UCGAGGUAUAGCGUCGCGUGUUUAUCAGUGGAGGUAGAGCACUAACUGGUCUAGGGGGCCUACAAGCCUACCGAAAUCAAUUAAACUCCGAAUGCCAUUGAAGCAAAGCGCGGCAGUGAGACGGCCGGGGAUAAGCUUGGUCGUCGAGAGGGAAACAGCCCAGACCAUCGUUUAAGGUCCCAAAGUUCUGGCUAAGUGGUUAACGAGGUGAGAUUGCUCAGACAAUCAGGAGGUUGGCUUAGAAGCAGCCAUCCUUUAAACAGUGCGUAAUAGCUGACUGAUCGAGUGAUCUUGCGCGGAAAAUUCAACGGGGCUCAAGCCAGGCACCGAAGGCAUGGAUUCGUUAGGGAGGGAUCCCUAAUGAGUGGUAGGGGAGCGUCGUGUAAUAGGAUGAAGCUCGAGCGUAAGCGCGGGUGGACGAAUCACGAGUGCGAAUCCAGGAAUGAGUAGCGAAAAGCAAAGUGAGAAUCUUUGCCGCCGAAAGCCCAAGAUUUCAGGAACAAGGUUCGUCCUUUCCUGGUUAGGCGGGCCUAAGCCGAGGCCGCGAGGCGUAGGCGAUGGACAGACGGUUGAUAUUCCGUCCCCGGUGCGACAUGUGUUUGUAAGUGCGUCGGUUGGUCAGCCUACCUUCUAUUGGAUGGAGGAUGUCAUCUAUAACCAAGGGAUGACACGAGGACUUAGUCCGAAGUGGUGGAACCUAUACGGCCCAGAAAAGCUUGCAAAUUCGUCGUAUCGCCCGUAUCGCAAACCGACACAGGUGGGCGAGGAGAGUAUCCUCAGGCGCGCGAGAUAACCCACGUUAAGGAACUCGGCAAUCUGUACCCGUAACUUUGGAAGAAGGGUAACCCCAUUAGCUUGUAAGGACUUGCUCCUGAAGGGUGAAGGGGUCGCAGAGAAUCGGCUCAAGCGACUGUUUAUCAAAAACAUAGGUCUCUGCUAAGCCGCAAGGCGAUGUAUAGGGGCUGAUGCCUGCCCAAUGCCGGAAUGUUAAGGGGAGAGGUUAGGGGCAACCCGAGGCUUUGAACCGAAGCACCGGUCAAUGGCGGCCGUAACUAUAACGGUCCUAAGGUAGCGAAAUUCCUUGUCGGGUAAGUUCCGACCCGCACGAAUGGCAUAACGACUUGAGCGCUGUCUCAACGUGGGACUCGGCGAAAUUGUAUUACGAGUGAAGAUGCUCGUUUCUUAUGGUAAGACGGAAAGACCCUGUGGAGCUUUACUGUAGUUUGGCAUUGCGUCGUUGGAUUAGAUGCAGAGGAUAGGUAGGAGGCUGUGAGACAUCACUUUCGGGUGGUGAGGAGCCAACGGUGGAAUACUACCCUUCUGAUCUGACGGCCCUAACCUAGUCCAAAAA